AGGAAAUUAAAUCUAGACUUGACUGACAGCGACAAUAGAUGUUGUAUGGAAGAGUUACACCAUGGGCAACUUUGAUAAGUUCGACUCAAGGUAUAACGGUUCUUGAUGCUUAAUUUUGAAGAGAGUGAAAUGGAGAGAUAGUCAUAAUAUAUGUCAGCUUAUCUAUUCCUCAGUCAUCAAUAUUUGAACCCUCGCUUGGCACAAGUAAAAGACAAUUGUUGCCCUUCACCUUUAGCAUCUCUUAUUGUCAUUCUACUUACAAAAAUUGUCAGUUGGAUAGAAAACGGUGACGUUUUUUCACUUGUGAUUCCUCCUCAGAGCUUCUACUUCUUCCUUUCCCUAUUGACCAGGUGAACCUACGUACUUCAUUGUUUCCUUUUCUCGCUUCUUGUCCUUUCAUUUUUUUGGGUGUUUCUCCGUUUACUGAGCUUAUCAUUUUCUUCAAGUAAAAUUGAGAGUGUACUCAGAUUUUGCAUUUUUUGGGUAAAGUUUGAGGUUGUUUGCAAGCUAAAGCUAAAGACCUUUGUUAUGCAUGCAGGUAUUAGUCCAUUCAGAGAAAAAGAUACUACAUUUGUAUAAAGCAAGAUACUUGGCACUGUCACAACAGGUUGAGAAAUUGGAGAUUGAUGGGAAGAAGAUCUUUCAACCAAAGUUUGACGAACAAAGGUACUAAGAGUCAAGAGAUGUCAAAAGUUGGGUAUGGAAUGAGGUACGACCAAUUUUCCCUGUCAAUGCUCAGCUUGCUGAUUGGAAAAGAGGAAUAUUCGACUUUGUGCUUUUAUAAAUAAUAGAUGUUACGCCAACCGAGUAAGUUAUUUAAUGGCAUAGGAAAGUAUAAGUAGUAUAGAGUCUACUUCAGGUUUCUUGUAGCAAUCAUUUGCCAUGAGUAUUGAAUUAAGCACUAUGGACACUCUUAUGCUCACAAUAAGAACAUCCAGGAAGAUCUUCACUUUGACAUAAUAUCUAGGUAGAACCAUACUUGACAGGUGUGGUUAUACCAUUGUUGGACAACAUUUCACACAGUAAUACAGAGCUAAGUUCUAAAGUGUUGGAGAUAAAAGAAGCUCCCUGUAAUUUGAAUUACUGUAAUUUCACACAGUAAUACCCAGAAUCAGAAAGUGAGAGUUUCCUGUGGGUAAUGGUGUCCUCUUCUUCAAUUCAAGAUUGAAACUCUUCACGGGAAAGCUUAGAUAGAAGUGGUCAGUCCUGUUUGUGAUCUUAAAUGUUUACCUGAGUAGAGCUAUUGAGUUGGAAGAUCAUGAGAAGAAGAAAUUUGUGGUGAAUGGCCAACAAUUGAAACACUGUUAUGUGGGUGGACUCGGAGAGACUAAGGUUGAGUCACUUCGCUUCAAAGAAUCAAAAUGAUGACCAAGUGAUGUCGUGCCACCACUAUAACUACGGCGCUUCUUGAGAGGCAAUCUAAGAUUUAUUUUUUAUGUUUUCUUAUGUUUCUUAUAUUAAUUUUAGCUUAAUUUUGAUUGAUGCAGGUAAUAUUACAAGAUUGGGGUGCGAGAAACUAGAUUCGGGGGCUCAAAAGUGAGCCCCGAACUGGAAUGCAGAUUGUUUAUGUUUUAAACCAAGGUGCAGCAGCUAUUCUACCUCGACCUACGCUGGACAUGCUCAAGAAGUCCAGGCGCAGGUCAGUCAUAAUUGGGAUGCAGGUAAAGUUGCGUAUUCUGUCGUGAGAUGCGCGAACUGCUCAAGAAGUCCAGGCACAAAAGGGACACAGAAGAGGCUUAAUUUCAGGCAACAAAACUGAAGGUUACUGCCUGGACCUGCGCUGGACUUGCUACAGCAGUCCAGGCGUAGGCCGGGUGCUUGUUAGACGCAGAGCAAGCUAUUACAUACUGUUAUGACUUGCGUUGGAACUGCUUACGCAGUCCAGCAGCAGGUCCAUCGCAUGUGGGACGCAGGCUGGUUAAAAAUGACGCUUAGGAGCUGCUACAAACUGUCCAGGUAUGCGCUGGAACUGCUUCAACAGUCCAGUCGCAAAUUCAAUGCAUUUGGCGCGCAGGUCAUUUUAAAUAAGUUGUAAGUUGUAAAAAAUGGGUUGGAUUUUAUGGGGCUGACCUGACCCGGUUAGCCCAAAAUUAUUUUAAACAAUUAAAAGGGAGCCAAAAAUAGUCGAGCACCUCAUUUUAUUUCAUUGCAACUCUAUUCUAACGUUUCUUUUCUCUCACACUCAUCAUACUCUCCUUCUUUACCAACAAUUGAACUAACAAAAAGUGAGAUCAUUCCUUUGGACUUGUACUUCACUUUUUCCCCUCUCUUACAUCAAGAAAGGUACAUCUCCAAGGAAAAACUCGUCAUGAGAAAUUAUCCAGGGAUGAUGAGUCACCCUUCAUAGCAGACUCGAUGAGAGGAGCUCAGUCUGAUGAGGAUCCUAUUAAGACAGUACGAUUAUUCACCGACAUGGACCCGAGCGCCUAAUGCUCCACAAGGAGUCUUUACCCUCCUUUACUCUCUCUUAUUUCUGCAUUGGGGACAAUGCAAUAUUUUUAGUGGGGGUGGGGUAUUUUUAUGAUUCAUUUGAUGGUCGGUACCUACUGUCUCAUUUUAUGGCAUGUAGUUUGAUAAAUUGUGGAGACAUAUUCUAUUUUAUUACUUUAAUUUUUGUGUACUUUAGCCCUUGUGGGGCGUGUUUUUUCUUUAAUUAUUGGCAUU